rnacentral:rRNA from 1 species
GGGGAAUAUUGCACAAUGGGGGAAACCCUGAUGCAGCGACGCCGCGUGGAGGAAGAAGGUCUUCGGAUUGUAAACUCCUGUUGUUGAGGAAGAUAAUGACGGUACUCAACAAGGAAGUGACGGCUAACUACGUGCCAGCAGCCGCGGUAAAACGUAGGUCACAAGCGUUGUCCGGAAUUACUGGGUGUAAAGGGAGCGCAGGCGGGAAGACAAGUUGGAAGUGAAAUCCAUGGGCUCAACCCAUGAACUGCUUUCAAAACUGUUUUUCUUAAGUAGUGCAGAGGUAGGCGGAAUUCCCGGUGUAGCGGUGGAAUGCGUAGAUAUCGGGAGGAACACCAGUGGCGAAGGCGGCCUACUGGGCACCAACUGACGCUGAGGCUCGAAAGUGUGGGUAGCAAACAGGAUUAGAUACCCUGGUAGUCCACACCGUAAACGAUGAUUACUAGGUGUUGGAGGAUUGACCCCUUCAGUGCCGCAGUUAACACAAUAAGUAAUCCACCUGGGGAGUACGACCGCAAGGUUGAAACUCAAAGGAAUUGACGGGGGCCCGCACAAGCAGUGGAGUAUGUGGUUUAAUUCGACGCAACGCGAAGAACCUUACCAAGUCUUGACAUCCUGCGACGAUGCUGGAAACAGUAUUUUCCUUCGGGACGCAGAGACAGGUGGUGCAUGGUUGUCGUCAGCUCGCGUCGUGAGAUGUUGGGUUAAGUCCCGCAACGAGCGCAACCCUUAUGGUCAGUUACUACGCAAGAGGACUCUGGCCAGACUGCCGUUGACAAAACGGAGGAAGGUGGGGAUGACGUCAAAUCAUCAUGCCCUUUAUGACUUGGGCUACACACGUACUACAAUGGCGUUAAACAAAGAGAAGCAAGACCGCGAGGUGGAGCAAAACUCAGAAACAACGUCCCAGUUCGGACUGCAGGCUGCAACUCGCCUGCACGAAGUCGGAAUUGCUAGUAAUCGUGGAUCAGCAUGCCACGGUGAAUACGUUCCCG